UACGGAGGGGGUUAGCGUUGUUCGGAAUUACUGGGCGUAAAGCGCGCGUAGGCGGACCAGAAAGUUGGGGGUGAAAUCCCGGGGCUCAACCCCGGAGCGGCCUCCAAAACUCCUGGUCUUGAGUUCGAGAGAGGUGAGUGGAAUUCCGAGUGUAGAGGUGAAAUUCGUAGAUAUUCGGAGGAACACCAGUGGCGAAGGCGGCUCACUGGCUCGAUACUGACGCUGAGGUGCGAAAGUGUGGGGAGCAAACAGG
rnacentral:rRNA from 1 species